AUAUCAAAACCAAAUUAUGGGAAUUAUCAAACCUUCAUUGUCUCUCAUCAUUUCUUGCUUCCUCUUAGCAUUGUUACUUUUCUUCUCUCAUGGAGGAGUCUUUGCAAGAAGCCUACCAGAUAAAGCAACAACUUUUGCAGCCGGGUCGCAGGAACCUUGUGCACACGUGCCGCCCAGUUAUUCAAAGUCAGGCCCCGGCUUUUUUCGAUUCAAUCUUUAGAAAGUCGUUCAUAUUCAGAGUUUAUUAUUGUCCUUUUUAAUAAUAUAAUUUUAAAGAUUUAAAUUCACGUUUUCUCAUUAAAAAUAUAAUACUUAUUAUUAUUGCAUCCAAUAUUUAUUGGUGUAAUAUAUAGAUCUUUAUGUCAAAAAGAAAUCAUGAAAUCAUGUAAUGACUAUUUGAGGAUUGGUAGAAUAAUUCCGUAAAAAUAAGUGGAGUUUUCAUCGUCA